rnacentral:tmRNA from 1 species
GGGGCUGACUGGCUUUGACAGCGGGAUGGGCCUUUGUGUAAGCAUGCAGUGAGACGUCACCUAUCACUAUAAUCCACGAUGGCGAACUAUAAUUGGCGAGACUAACUACGCUCUUGCUGCCUAAUCGAAGUACAGUAGAUUACUGGCUUAAUCGGUCGCCAAGGUGCGGCUGACAAGACAUCACCCCAAUGUCCUUGUUCCGAGACAGAGGAACCGGUGGUGCAGGUAAAUCGGAACUAAUCAGGGCUUGCCUCGCAGCCUUGGUGAAAUCUUAGAGGCUAAGGAGUCACUUGGUGGUCCGGGUCUUGGUGGCUCCCGACAAUGAAGGCCGGAAUAAGCAUGUAGAAAGCG